rnacentral:rRNA from 1 species
GACGAACGCUGGCGGCGUGCUUAACACAUGCAAGUCGAGCGGAAAGGCCCUUCGGGGUACUCGAGCGGCGAACGGGUGAGUAACACGUGAGUAACCUGCCCUCAACUUCGGGAUAAGCCUGGGAAACCGGGUCUAAUACCGGGUAGGACCGGCCUUGGCAUCGGGGCUGGUGGAAAGUUUUUCGGUUGGGGAUGGACUCGCGGCCUAUCAGCUUGUUGGUGGGGUAGUGGCCUACCAAGGCGACGACGGGUAGCCGGCCUGAGAGGGCGACCGGCCACACUGGGACUGAGACACGGCCCAGACUCCUACGGGAGGCAGCAGUGGGGAAUAUUGCGCAAUGGGCGAAAGCCUGACGCAGCGACGCCGCGUGGGGGAUGACGGCCUUCGGGUUGUAAACCUCUUUCAGCAGGGACGAAGUUGACGUGUACCUGUAGAAGAAGCGCCGGCUAACUACGUGCCAGCAGCCGCCGUAAUAC